rnacentral:rRNA from 1 species
CGGCGGACGGGUGAGUAACACGUGGAUAACCUACCUAUAAGACUGGGAUAACUUCGGGAAACCGGAGCUAAUACCGGAUAAUAUAUUGAACCGCAUGGUUCAAUAGUGAAAGACGGUUUUGCUGUCACUUAUAGAUGGAUCCGCGCCGCAUUAGCUAGUUGGUAAGGUAACGGCUUACAAGGCGACGAUGCGUAGCCGACCUGAGAGGGUGAUCGGCCACACUGGAACUGAGACACGGUCCAG